CGCCAGACUCCUACGGGAGGCAGCAGUGAGGAAUAUUGGUCAAUGGUCGGGAGACUGAACCAGCCAAGCCGCGUGAGGGAGGAAGGUACAGAGUAUCGUAAACCUCUUUUGUCAGGGAACAAAGACUGGGACGCGUCCCCGGAUGAGUGUACCUGAAGAAAAAGCAUCGGCUAACUCCGUGCCAGCAGCCGCGGUAAUACGUAGGGGGCAAGCGUUAUCCGGAUUUACUGGGUGUAAAGGGGGCGCAGACGGCAAUGCAAGCCAGGAGUGAAAGCCCGGGGCCCAACCCCGGGACUGCUCUUGGAACUGCAUGGCUGGAGUACAGGAGGGGCAGGCGGAAUUCCUAGUGUAGCGGUGAAAUGCGUAGAUAUUAGGAGGAACACCGGUGGCGAAGGCGGCCUGCUGGACUGUGACUGACGUUGAGGCCCGAAGGCGUGGGGAGCAAACAGGAUUAGAUACCCGAGUACAA
rnacentral:rRNA from 1 species